rnacentral:rRNA from 1 species
GACGAACGCUGGCGGCGUGCUUAACACAUGCAAGUCGAACGGAAAGGCCCUGCUUUUGUGGGGUGCUCGAGUGGCGAACGGGUGAGUAACACGUGAGUAACCUGCCCUUGACUUUGGGAUAACUUCAGGAAACUGGGGCUAAUACCGGAUAGGAGCUCCUGCUGCAUGGUGGGGGUUGGUAAGUUUCGGCGGUUGGGGAUGGACUCGCGGCUUAUCAGCUUGUUGGUGGGGUAGUGGCUUACCAAGGCUUUGACGGGUAGCCGGCCUGAGAGGGUGACCGGCCACAUUGGGACUGAGAUACGGCCCAGACUCCUACGGGAGGCAGCAGUGGGGAAUAUUGCACAAUGGGCGGAAGCCUGAUGCAGCAACGCCGCGUGCGGGAUGUCGGCCUUCGGGUUGUAAACCGCUUUCGCCUGUGACGAAGCGUGAGUGACGGUAAUGGGUAAAGAAGCACCGGCUAACUACGUG